CAAAUUCAAGUAAUAUCUCAAAAUAAACCUCAACGUGAUACAAUUUUCAUUCCUAAACCGCUUAAGUCUUUUGUUGAAGUCGUCGUAAAUGUUUGCAACAUCCCCCUUAGUCAGGUACCAACACCAUGUGUAAAAGGAGAUAGGCUUUCUAUUACAAUCCUAGAAUAUGAAUACCAGAUAGGGUUGGAAGCCUACAAGCACAAUCUUCAUGGUAGAAUCAUUUGGCUUAAGGGUUCAAGUCCUCUAACAGUUGUUGCUUUGGAAGCAAAACUAUCUCAGCUAUGGAGUUCUAUUAUCAAAUGGGGACUCACCUCACUUGAGAAAGGUUUUUUUUUUUUUAGUUUUCCUUUUCUACUCUAG